rnacentral:rRNA from 1 species
UACGUAGGGACCGAGCGUUGUCCGGAUUCAUUGGGCGUAAAGAGCUCGUAGGCGGCCACUCAAGUCGAAUGUGAAACCUCGAGGCUUAACCUCGAGCCUGCAUUUGAUACUGGGCGGCUAGAGUCUGGUAGGGGGAUCUGGAAUUCCUGGUGUAGCGGUGGAAUGCGCAGAUAUCAGGAGGAACACCGAUGGCGAAGGCAGAUCUCUGGGCCGUAACUGACGCUGAGGAGCGAAAGCAUGGGGAGCGAACAGG